rnacentral:snRNA from 1 species
GAAUGUGAGGGUGAUCUGGCUGCAACAUCAGUUCCCCACUAAUUGCCAGGGUUGAUUCGGCUGAUCUGGCUGGCUAGGCAGAGUGUCCCCUUCCCUCCCUCACCAUACCAAGUGCAUCCCUCCUGAAGCUGCUCCCUCAGUGGAAGAGGAUGACCUUCCCUGACAGAGGAGGACCAUUCUUCAGUUAAGGGCAUAGGAGUACACAGUCUAAAGUAAGUAUAAAUAUGCAGUCUAAAAUAAGUAUAAACAGAAAGUAAUAAGUCAUUGGCAAAAAAAGUGAGAAAUGUGCAUUAAAAUGACAUACAACAUGACCACAUUUGAGAAU